UAUUAUGAGAGUUUGAUCCUGGCUCAGGACGAACGCUGGCGGCGUGCCUAAUACAUGCAAGUCGAACGCUUCUUUCCUCCCGAGUGCUUGCACUCAAUUGGAAAGAGGAGUGGCGGACGGGUGAGUAACACGUGGGUAACCUACCCAUCAGAGGGGGAUAACACUUGGAAACAGGUGCUAAUACCGCAUAACAGUUUAUGCCGCAUGGCAUAAGAGUGAAAGGCGCUUUCGGGUGUCGCUGAUGGAUGGACCCGCGGUGCAUUAGCUAGUUGGUGAGGUAACGGCUCACCAAGGCCACGAUGCAUAGCCGACCUGAGAGGGUGAUCGGCCACACUGGGACUGAGACACGGCCCAGACUCCUACGGGAGGCAGCAGUAGGGAAUCUUCGGCAAUGGACGAAAGUCUGACCGAGCAACGCCGCGUGAGUGAAGAAGGUUUUCGGAUCGUAAAACUCUGUUGUUAGAGAAGAACAAGGACGUUAGUAACUGAACGUCCCCUGACGGUAUCUAACCAGAAAGCCACGGCUAACUACGUGCCAGCAGCCGCGGUAAUACGUAGGUGGCAAGCGUUGUCCGGAUUUAUUGGGCGUAAAGCGAGCGCAGGCGGUUUCUUAAGUCUGAUGUGAAAGCCCCCGGCUCAACCGGGGAGGGUCAUUGGAAACUGGGAGACUUGAGUGCAGAAGAGGAGAGUGGAAUUCCAUGUGUAGCGGUGAAAUGCGUA
rnacentral:rRNA from 1 species